GCAAGCACGGCCGCCCCCACCUCCCUCGGGUGGUAGAAGCGCGGCCGCCCCCAUCUCCCUCCCCGGCAGAAGCACCGACCCCAGCCAACGACGCGCCACAACCAUGACCCCAACCGGAGACAUGCUGCACCGCCUGCCGGAGCACCUCGGGGUCGCCAGAUCUAGCAAGGGUCCUUCACCUCCCUCCACUCGCCGGCGACCAUGAGUCCGCUUCCGGAUUGGGUGCUAUGCUGUAGUUGGAGGAGGUAUUGAACUUCAGAUGGAGAAGGGCAUGACCUGCAGCUGGCUGCGCGCAACCGCCGUCCCACGCCAUGGAUCGAGCAGCCGCCAUCCCCAGCAGGCCCCGAGACGGAUCCAUGCCGCUCCUCCCCUUCCCGGUCGAUGCCACUAGCAUAGCUCGGACGGGAACCUCCUCUCAGGUGUUAUCAUCGUAUCAACUAGGGAGAAGUCCAAAGACAGGGGCGCAUGCAGGAAUCGCUCAUCACCGGUGAUUCGUUCCAAGGGACAUCGCCCCAAACGGCGCCCGCUGGUGCACCAAUAGCAGCCCAGUGAGAUACAAAAGUGCGGAUGAUGCUUACUUCCGUCCACCAUGCCUCGCUACGGCGGCGCUUGGAUCCCACCAUCGUGCCACUGGAUCCUCCGCCUUCAAGCCCCUGCAUCUCCAGUGAGCGCUGUGCGCGUACGGGUCCUGAUCCAGUGCAUGUGUCUUCUAUCCAGCAUGUCCCAGCCGCCGUCAUACAAUGCUGCUCCAGCCGCUGCUUUGGCAGUCCAAGUGCCCCACUGAAGUCCGUCCGAGUUCAUCUGUUCGUGCUCCUUCGUGUCGAAGCUUCUGCCAGCAGUAGUGCAGAUAUCUGAAGACCAUUUGGUGUGUCUUCAGCAAACGUUGCGUCGAGCCACUGGCACAUGUUCGCAUCCUCCAUCAUCUCGCUUUUCUACUAUUCCUCAUGUUCUAGCCAUUGGCACAUAUGCAAAGAAAUUGGUGUUUUGGUCUGUUGGUUUCAGUUUAACAGGAGCUUCAGUAAUGGAAAACUUGAGUUUUCUUCCAAGUUUAUCUCGAAAAUGCAUGACAGCCGACGGUCCAUUUAAUCAGAGAUGAAAUACUUUUAGAAGCAAACGAAUGUAAGGCCCUCUCCCCGGGUGGUUUUUACCAGGCGAUGUACUCAUGUCUAGUGCCAUCAGUGUUCACUCAGGGGUGUAUUCCUUUUCUUCAGUUUUGUAUAUAUAGUCGUAGAACUAUGUAACUUGGUCUAAGUACGUAGGUACAGAAUGAGAGGAGGGCCUUCUACUCAGACCGGCCGGCCACUUCUUCAGACUGAUGUUCACAUCUACUCCAGCUAGCACCACUCCUGAAGUGCCCCAAUCAUUGCCGUGCCAAAGAAUAGCCGAUUGUUCGCCCAUAUUUUUUUUCUCUUCUGUAUACACUGCAUGUGAUCUCUGCAUGUUUCUAUGAUUAUAAAGUGUUGCCGUUUGUUGCUGCUGAA